rnacentral:tRNA from 1 species
GCCAACUUAGCUCAGUUGGUAGAGCAAUUCAUUCGUAAUGAAUAGGUCGGGGGUUCGACUCCCCCAGUUGGCU